AAUAAAAGGCCAUCGCCCAAUGGCAAAGUUUCUUUAGUCAACGAAAACAUUUGUUUACGUACAAAAUAAAUAAAAUUUGGGGUCACACUAAAUCAGCAUUUUUGUUUUCUCAUUGGGUCACUGAAGCUUCACAGAGGACACGUAUUCAUUAAAGGUGAUAAUACAAUGUAUUAUCCAAUAUACGUAGAUGAGCAGUCACAGAGCUCAUAAACAGAGGUUUGUGUAAACGCCGUUAUCAUAAACACCGCGCCAAACACCUCAGCCGACGUGUCGCAAACAUUGUCCUGAUGACGCCACACGUGGAUCGGGCUUUCGGAUCCUAGUAUGGUAGCCUUCGGUC